CUUUUUGAGUUGUUUAAAUGUUGAAUAAUCUAAAUAAAUCUGGGGUUAAAGGCUAUAUACUAUAUUGCUCUUUUUGGUAUCUGGUUGUUUUAAAAAUAUAUUUAGUUUAGCUCUUUUGGUGAAGAAGUUAAGGCUUGUAAGGUAAGUUAUUGGCUUGGAGUGUUGAGUAGAGAGAAAAGAUAAAUUUGAGUGGGUUUAAUAUUAAUCAUUGCUUAUAUUGUUGUAAAAAAAAUUUUGUGUGUUUAUAAAUUUGUAGUCUUAUCAUUUUUUUAUAAAACAAUAGGUUUUUGCUUAUUUAUUAUGUUAAAAUUAGUAGAGUAGAUGUGUAAGUUUUGUGUUGUGUUUGAAGCGAUGAAAUGGAGAGACUAAUACAUAAAAUUUUUCUUUAAUAAAUUCGGCAAAAGAAACUAGCGAAUGUUUAGCAAAAACAUUUCUUUUUGUAGGUAUAAAAAGUAUUUCCUGCCCAGUGCUGACUGUAGUAAAUGGCUGCAUUAAUUUGAGUGUACAAAGGUAGCGUAAUAAUUCGCCUCUUAAUUGGUGGCAUGUAUGAAUGGGGUUACGGUGGUUUUCUGUGUCAAAGAAAUAUUUUGAAAUUUACUUGUGUGUGAAGAGGCAGACAUGUAAAAAAAGGACGACAAGACCCUAGAAGCUUUACUUUAUGGGUAUUUAUUGUGAAAUUUCCUUAAGUUUUGUUGGGGCAACAGAGGUUUCUUUAUGUCAAAAUACAUUCUUGUUUUAUCCAAAUUGUUGAAAAAGAUUAGCUACUCUAGGGAUAACAGCGUUAUUUUUCUUUAUAGCUCUUAUAGAAAGAAAAGAUUGCGACCUCGAUGUUGGAUUAAGGUAUCCUGAAGAUGCAGAAGUCUUCGAGGGUUGGUCUGUUCGCCCAUUAAAACCCUUACAUGAUCUGAGUUCAGACCGGCGUGAGCUAGGUCAGUUUCUAUCCAUUUCUUAUAUUUGGUUAUUUUAGUACGAGAGGAAUUAAUAAUCUAUUAAUAAUAAUAAUUAGGUCAAUAUAAUG
rnacentral:rRNA from 1 species